rnacentral:lncRNA from 1 species
CUUUGGGUCCCCUCCCUUUGUAUGGGAGCUCUGUUUUCACUCUAUUAAAUCUUGCAACUGCACUGUCUUCUGGUCCAUGUUUGUUACUGCUCGAGCUGAGCUUUCGCUCCCCGUCCACCACUGCCGUUUGCUACCGUGGCAGACCUGCCGCUGACUUCCAACCCUCCAGAUCCAGCAGGGUGUCUGCUGUGCUCCUGAUCCAGCGAGGCGCCCAUUGCUGCUCCAAAUCGGGCUAAAGGCUUGCCAUCAUUCCUGCACGGUUAAGUGCCCGGGUUGGUCGUAAUCGAGCUGAACACUUGUCACUGGGUUCCACGGUUCUCUUCCGUGACCCAUGGCUUCUAAUAGAGCUAUAAAACUCACCGCAUGGCCCAAGAUUCCAUUCUUUGGAAUCCGUGAGGCCAAGAACCCCAGGUCAGAGAACACGAGGCUUGCCACCAUGUUGGAAGCGACCUGCCGCCAUUUUGGAAGCAGCCCACCAUCAUCUUGGGAGCUCUGGGAGCAAGGACCCCUGUUGGAGGCAGCAUGCCUGCUUCAGCCCAGCCUGGCUACCAGGCUGAAGGAACCAACACACAGAGGACUAAAGCAGAGACGAUGAACCCAAGUUGAUGCUCAACCCUGCUACCUUUGGCACCCUGGUUGGAAAGCUCUGAGGAUCUGGAGGAGGAAGCAGGCAGGCCCUGGGUCUACUGGCAACCAUCUUGUGAUCAUGAGUUGAGACUAUAUUACCAGGAAAUGAUCCCUACAGAAGGCAGAGUGCAGAGAGGAAGAAAACAAUCUGAGGACAUUAUUGAGUGCUGUAUUAAGCGCAGCAAAUUACAUGGGCCAAUAAAUACCUUUUCUUUCUUAAGCCUGUUGUUAUAACUGAAUGCAUCCUACUAUAAUGGUUAGAAAAUAAAAUAUUUUUAAAAUAGGCCUCUGUUACUUUUUUAACUUUACAGAAAUAACUAAAAGCAAACAACAACAUCAAAACUCAAAGAAUUAUUUUUUAAAAUUCCAUAAUAAGAACUGUAAAAAAUAGGAGAAACUUUCUUUCUAACAGGAGCCUAUUUCUAGAAACCAAUUAAAUCAUUACAAGUAAUAACAAUUUCUCUUUACAGAGUACCACAUGCCAAGCCAUGUACUAAGCAUAUUAUAUGCAGUAUCUCAUUUAAUCCACACAACAAUCUCAAGAGGGUUCUAUAAAUAUCCUCAUUUUACAGAUGAGGAAACAAAGAUUCCAAGAAUUUAAAUAAUUUGUUUAAUGUUGCACAGUAAGAAAAAGACUAAACAAAGAUUGAGUCCUGAUCAUCUAACUCUGAAACACCUACUCUAUACCAGUUCACACUCUGCCUUUCUAAGCAAGUAGCAUGCAUAGCUCUAAUCCGUACACCACCUUACCAGGUAGGGCUUACAGCAGAUGAGGAAAUUAACACUCACAGACAUUAUGUAACAUGAGGGAGGUCCCACAGCUAGCUAGUAAUUAUACAAAAAGAUAAGCCACAGGGCACAGAGCGUCGUCUCAGAGAUUAACAGGCAAGAUGAUGAAUACAUGGAAAAAGCCACCAAAGCUUGGCACUCAAAGAGCCCUUAAAGAUUCCCAGUUCAUAAAAAAAAAUUAGCUGCGUGUGGCGGCAGGCACCUGUAAUCCCAGUUACUCGGGAGGCUGAGGCAGGAGAAUCGCUUGAACCCGGGAGGCAGAGAUUGCACUGAGCCGAGAUCGCACCACUGCACUCCAGCCUGGACGACAGAGUGAGACUCCAUCUCAAAAAAAAAAAAAAAAAAAAAAGAUUCCCAGUUCAUCACCUUCUUUUUGUUCUUGAAGAACUGAGACCCAGAGACAUUUCUUAUCUUGCCCAGGGCAACACAGCCAGUAGGGGCAGAGGUACGACGACACAAGUCUUUGUUAAUCAACAUGUUUUUCUAAUACACAAGACUGCCUUUGAUGAACUGCAUUUGCAGGGCACCUGCUGAAUACACUUGAUAUGGGAACUUUUUCCUGUCUUAAUGGAGUAGAUCCAGCCUCCAGUACCUGUUUGUCUUAAUAGAGUCCCCUAAUUUUCCCUACAGAAACAACCUCUUUCCUCCUGCGUGCAGCCUUGAGAGGGCUGGUAAAUCCCCCUCCCCUGGACAUGCGACUUCAGUCACAACAAUUGAAAUUUCUCUCCUGGGAAUUUGUAAUUUGUCUAUGCUUUAUUUUGAUAAUAAAUCUUUGUUUUCCCCCAAGGAAUUUGGAAUCGAUUUCCAUUGUCCACAACCUAAGAACCUAUAACACUUAAGGCCUUUUUCAGUUGCAAGUGUUAGGAAACCCAAGCCAAA